rnacentral:rRNA from 1 species
GAGUACAUCAGCGGCAGACGGGUGAGUAACACGUAGAUAACCUGCCCUCAAGACGGGGACAACCGGUGGAAACAGCGGCUAAUACCCGAUAUGCUCACAGGAUCGGGAGAUCGAGUGAGGAAAGGCUUUGGUGCUUGAGGAGGGAUCUGCGGCCCAUCAGCUAGUUGGUGAGGUAACGGCUCACCAAGGCGAAGACGGGUAGGGGGUGUGAGAGCAUGGCCCCCCACAAUGGGACUGAGACACGGNCCAUACUCCUACGGGAGGCAGCAGCGGGGAAUAUUGCGCAAUGGACGGAAGUCAGACGCAGCGACGCCGCGUGGGUGAGGAAGGCCUUCGGGUUGUAAAGCCCUUUUCAGGGGAGCGAGAAAGGACGGUACCCUUGGAAUAAGCGUCGGCUAACUACGUGCCAGCAGCCGCGGUAAGACGUAGGACGCAAGCGUUAUCCGGAUUUACUGGGCGUAAAGCGCCUGUAGGCGGUCAAGUAAGUCGGAUGUGAAAGCCCCGUGCUCAACGCGGGGAAGCCAUUCGAUACUGCGUGACUAGAGAACGGCAGAGGGAAACGGAAUUUCUGGUGUAGCGGUAAAAUGCGCAGAGAUCAGAAAGAACACCGAUGGCGAAGGCAGUUUCCUAGGCCGCAUCUGACGCUGAGAGGCGAAAGCUAGGGGAGCAAACAGGAUUAGAGACCCUGGUAGUCCUAGCUGUAAACGAUGGAUGCUAGGUGUGGGCCGGAAAGGUCCGUGCCGUAGUUUAACGCGAUAAGCAUCCCGCCUGGGGAGUACGGCCGCAAGGCUAAAACUCAAACGAAUUGACGGGGACCCGCACAAGCAGCGGAGCGUGUGGUUUAAUUCGAUGCUACACGCAGAACCUUACCUGGGCUUGACAUGUAGGUGGUAGUGAAGUGAAAGCGGAGCGACCAUUCGGGGAGCCUACACAGGUGCUGCAUGGCUGUCGUCAGCUCGUGCCGUGAGGUGUCGGGUUUAAGUCCCGUAACGAGCGCAACCUUUGUCCUUAGUUACAAGUGUCUAAGGAGACUGCCGGUGACAAACCGGAGGAAGGUGG